rnacentral:tRNA from 3 species
GGCGACAUAGCCAAGUGGCAAGGCAGCGGUCUGCAAAACCGCUAUCCCCGGUUCGAAUCCGGGUGUCGCCUCCA